UACUCGAGUGGCGAACGGGUGAGUAACACGUGGGUGAUCUGCCCUGCACUUCGGGAUAAGCUUGGGAAACUGGGUCUAAUACCGGAUAGGAACCAUCUUUAGUGUGGUGGUUGGAAAGUUUUUUCGGUGUAGGAUGAGCUCGCGGCCUAUCAGCUUGUUGGUGGGGUAAUGGCCUACCAAGUCGGCGACGGGUAGCCGGCCUGAGAGGGUGUACGGCCACAUUGGGACUGAGAUACGGCCCAG
rnacentral:rRNA from 1 species